GACGAACGCUGGCGGCGUGCUUAACACAUGCAAGUCGAACGGAAACGCCCUGCUUUUGUGGGGUUCUCGAUUGGCGAACGCGUGAGUAUCACGUGUGUAACCUGCCCUUCUCUUUGGGAUAACUUCACGAAACUGGGGCUACUACCAUAUAGGAUCUCCUGCUGCAUUGUGGGGGUUGGAACUUUUCGGCGGUUGGGGAUGGACUCGCGGCUUAUCAGCUUGUUGGUGGGGUAGUGGCUUACCAAGGCGUUGACGGGUAGCCGGCCUGUGAGAGUGAGCGGCGACAUUGGGACUGAGAGAAGGCACAGACUGCGAAGGGAGGCAGAAGGGGGGAAUAUUGCACAAGGGGCGGAAGCCGGAUGCAGAAAGGCCGCGGGCUGGAUGACGGCUUUGGGGUUAAAAAAAGGUAGCGGGUGAGACGAAGGGUGAGUGAAGGUAAUGGAUAAAGAAGCACCGGCUAACUACGUG
rnacentral:rRNA from 1 species